AUAAAAUUGAGAAUGAAAAUGGGGAAUGUGCCAAAGAGACAACAACCCGACCAUAGAAAAAAAACAACAGCAGAAGGUCACCAACAGGUCUUCAAUGUAGCGAGAAAUUCCCGCACCCGGAGGCGUCCUUCAGCUGGCCCCUAAACAAAUAUAUACUAGUUCAGUGAUAAUGAACGCCAUACUAAUUUCCAAAUUGUACACAAGAAACUAAAAUUAAAAUAAUACAAGACUAACAAAGGCCAGAGGCUCCUGACUUGGGAUAGGCGCAAAAAUGCGGCGGGGUUAAACAUGUUUGUGAGAUCUCAACCCUCCCCCUAUACCUCUAGUCAAUGUAGAAAAGUAAAC
rnacentral:lncRNA from 1 species